rnacentral:rRNA from 1 species
GACGAACGCUGGCGGCGUGCCUAAUACAUGCAAGUCGAACGCUGAAGGCGGAGCUUGCUUCUCUGCAUGAGUUGCGAACGGGUGAGUAACACGUAGGUAACCUGCCUUGUACUGUGGGAUAACUUCUGGAAACUAUGGCUAAUACCGGAUAGUAGCUCCUGUUGCAUGACGACGGUUGGAAAGUUUCAACUGCUUGGCUACGACUCGGACCUGCGGUGUUUUUGGUAGGUGGUGGGGUAAAGGCUCACCAAGGCGAGGAUACAUAGCCGACCGGUGAGGGUGAUCGGCCACCCUGGGACUGAGACACGGCCCAGACUCCUAAGGGAGGCAGCAGUAGGGAAUCUUAGGCAAUGGACGGAAGUCUGACCGAGCAACGCCGCGUGAGUGAAGAAGGGUUUCGGAUCGUAAAGCUCUGUUGUAAGAGAAGAACGAGUGUGAGAGUGGAAAGUUCACACUGUGACGGUAUCUUACCAGAAAGGGACGGCUAACUACGUG